GUUAAAUUGUGAUCCAAAUUCUACCGUAUUGGACUAGACGUAGUACAAUCGGUGUGGGCCUUUGCGUUGGUACCGACGCGUACGAGUACAACUCGUUUACUUGUCCUCCAAGGACUCUUAUGUAUUGCCCCUCAUAUAUACUCCAUGUAGCCGCACCUAAAGACGUCCUGUCGUCUCGUGCUUGUAAUACUCCUCCUCAUAGUGAUUGCGCCUUCGUGCGUCCGUGGUUUUCUCCCGCAAGGGUUUCCACGUAAAAAUCCGUGUCUCUCGUGUCUCGUUGAUCUCGUUUUAUCUAACAAGUGGUAUACAGAGCUAAGGUUAUACUGAUACGAGAUUUGAGACGAGAGCUAGGGUUUUUUUCACGCAGCCGCCGCGUCGGGCAAUCCGCCGAUCUGAAACCGGAUUGAUCUCUGCUGCCGCUGUACGAAGCCGAGACCGACACGAGUUCCGUUCGUACGCACGCAUACAAAUCGCUCCGAGGCGAGCCGCUGCAGGUGAAAAAAGAGGUCGAGUUGCGCUGCUGCUCCACGCUCAGCAAGUCGCCGAAUUGGUGCUGUCUCCUCUGCCGCCAGCCACGCCUCGUCCACCAGACCACAUCGACCUGAUCCCGGUUCCCAGCGCAGCCACGCGCCAGGAGCCGACCGUGCCGCUGCUCACGUCCAAGUUGCUGCUGCUGAGUUGCUGCUCACGUCCAAGUUGCUGCUGCUGAGUUGCCGUCUCUAUCGCUGCGCAUCGCAGCCCCUGUUCCUGUCCGUUGCUGCUGGAGAUAAUUGAUCAAUCAUCCAUCCAUCAGCACGUGACGAUACUAGUAUAAAGUACUAGUUGGUGUCUUAUCUUCUAUUGCUACAUCUACCCAAGAGCUACCAGGUGCUAUUUAUUCUAUUUCGUUUCAUCCGCAUAUUAAUUUCAUCAAGAAUUUUUCUGCCGGCUUGUACUACUUUGUGUACACAGAUUUAUCUACUCAUGGCAUCCAUGAAGUACGAUCUUCCGCUGCUGGACCGUGACACAAGGUUUACCCUAUGGCAAGUCAAGAUGCGGGCGUUGUUGGCGCAGGCCGACUACGAUGAUGCACUGGAUAGUUUUGGGAAGAAUAGAAUUGAGGAUUGGACUGCUGAGGAGAAAAGAAGGGAUCGUAAGGCUUUGUCACAAAUUCAACUCCAUUUGCAUAAUAAUAUUUUGCAGGAAGUUUUGAGCGAGAAAACUGCCGCCGCUCUAUGGUUAAAGCUGGAAGGGAUUUGCAUGACUAAAGAUCUCACCAGCAAGAUGCAUCUGAAGCAAAAAUUAUUCAUGCACAGGUUACCCGAGGGAGGUAACGUUUUGAAUCAUAUUUCAGAAUUUAAAGAGAUCAUAUCCGAUCUAGCUGCAAUGGAGGUUACGUAUGAUGAAGAAGAUACUGCUUUAAUGUUACUUUGUUCGCUGCCAAGCUCUUAUACCAAUUUUCGAGACACCAUAUUAUACAGUCGUGAUACUCUCACGCUUAAUGAAGUUUAUGAAGCUUUGAACUCUAAGGAGAAGAUGAAAUUAAUGGUGCCUCAUGAUGGUUCGAGUUCAUCCCAAGCCGAGGGAUUAUCUGUUCGUGGCAGGACAAAGGAGAAGAACUCACACAAUGGAAACCGUGGCAAAAGUAAGAACGGCCAGAGGGGCCGGUCGCAAUCUAAAGACAAGAAGCAGUCUUGCAGGUAUUGCAAGAGAGACGGGCAUGACAUCUCAGAAUGUUUCAAGUUGCAGAACAAGGAAAAGAGGAAUGGUACGUAUAAACCGAAAGGUAACAAACAAGGUGAAAAUUCUGCUAAUGUUGCUCGUGAUGAAAGUUCAGAUGAUGCUCUUGUUGUUAUUGCUGGAUGUGCUGAGACCAAUGAUGAGUGGGUACUUGACACUGCGUGUACUUUUCAUAUGUGCCCGCAUAGAGAUUGGUUUACUACUUUUGAUUCUACUACAGCCGCUGGUUCCGUUUUGGGUUUUGAUAAUUCACCAUGCAAGAUUGAAGGCAUAGGUUCCAUUCGUAUCAAGAUGUUUGAUGGCACAAUCAGAACUUUGACAGAUGUUCGGUAUAUUCCGAAGAUGAAGAGAAAUCUUAUCUCUGUGAGUGCCCUUGAUGCAAAGGGCUACAAGUAUUCAGGUGGAGAUAGCGUUUUUGAAGGUCACCAAAGGUUCUCUCAUUGUGAUGAAAGGUGACUUAAGUUCGACCAAUGGUCUUUAUUACCUUCGAGGUUCUACCGUUUCAGGUAACGCUACUCCAGCUGUUUCAAAGAAUUCUGGUUGUGAUGCUUCUAACCUUUGGCAUAUGCGUCUUGGACAUAUGAGUGAACUUGGUUUGGCAGAGUUAAAUAAGAGAGGUCUUCUUAAAGGAUACCAAACUGGUAAAUUGAAAUUUUGUGAGCAUUGUAUCUUCGGCAAGCACAAGAGGGUGAAGUUCAACACUUCGACUCAUACAACUGAAGGUAUUCUUGAUUAUGUGCAUUCUGAUUUAUGGGGACCAUCUCGCAAAAGGUCAUUAGGUGGUGCUCGUUACAUGUUGACUAUUAUUGAUGAUUAUUCGAGAAAGGUUUGGCCUUAUUUCUUGAAGCAUAAAUGGCAAGCUUUCUCAGCUUUUAAGGAGUGGAAGAUUAUGAUUGAGAGACAAACUGAAAAGAAGGUAAAAAUACUUCGCACUGAUAAUGGUAUGGAAUUCUGUUCUAAGCAAUUUGGGAAUUAUUGCAAGUCUGAAGGCAUUGUCAGACACCACACCGUUCCUUAUACUCCUCAACAAAACGGUGUUGCUGAGCGUAUGAACAGGACCAUUAUUUCCAGAGCCCGUUGCAUGUUGUCCAAUGCAGGUUUGCAUAGGCGUUUUUGGGCUGAGGCCGCUUCCACUGCUUGUUAUCUCAUCAACCGUUCACCAUCUAUUCCUCUUAAUAAGAAAACUCCAAUUGAGGUAUGGUCUGGUUCACCUGCUGAUUAUUCACAGUUGAGAGUUUUUGGUUGCACUGCUUAUGCUCAUGUUGAUAAUGGGAAGUUGGAGCCUAGGGCUGUUAAGUGCAUCUUUCUUGGUUACAAAUCUGGUGUUAAAGGUUUUAAAUUGUGGAAUCCUGAAACACAAAAGAUUGUUAUUAGCAGGAGCGUUAUCUUUAAUGAAUCUGCUAUGUUACAUGAUGUUGCAUCUACUAAUGUUCCAAUUGAGAGUGAACAGCAGUCUACUGUUCAGCAGCCUACUGUUCAGGUGGAGCAUGUUAUUGAUUCAGGUGAUACUUCUGAUAAGGAAAAUGUUGAUGCACAUGAUGAACCCGUCUUUGAUGAUGAACAUGUCACUCCAAAUCAGCCUAUUGUUCCACCUAGUUGGAAUCUCGCACGUGACAGAGUUAGGCGGGGUAUUAAUGCACCUGAGAGGUUAAUUGAGGAGUGCAAUAUUGUUUCUUUUGCUUUAUCUGUUGCAGAAGAAAUUGAAGGUAAUGCUGAGCCUUCUUCAUAUUCCGAGGCUAUUNNNNNNNNNNNNNNNNNNNNNNNNNNNNNNNNNNNNNNNNNNNNNNNNNNNNNNNNNNNNNNNNNNNNNNNNNNNNNNNNNNNNNNNNNNNNNNNNNNNNAGGAGGAGAAGGAGACGGAAGAGGAGAAGAAGAAGAAAAGAAGAAGGAGAAGGAGAAGGAGGAAGAAGGAGGAAGAAGAAGGAGAAGGAGGAGCUCCUUCUCCUCCUUCUCCUCCUUCUUCUUAUCCUCCUCCCUCUCCUUCUUCUUCUUCUCCUCUUCUUCUUCUUCCUUCCUUUCAUUUUUCCUCUUUCUUCUCCUCUCGUCCCCUUCUUCGGGCUAAAUUGGCUAAGAAUGCCUUUUUGGAGCUAAUUAUGUCAUUUCGAGGAUAAUUAGCUAACUAUAGGUCAUUUUUUAUUAAAUAGACCAUUUAGGAGCUAACUAAGCUAAUUAUGUCAUUUAGAUGGAUAAUUAGCCAAUUUAGGCUUUGUUGGAUGAGUCUAAGCUACGUAGAAUAAGAGAAAGAGAAGAAGAAGUAAAAGAAGRAGGAGGAGGAGGAGGAGGAGAAGGAGACUGAAGAGGAGAAGAAGAAGAAAAGACGAAGGAGAAGGAGAAGGAGGAAGAAGGAGGAAGAAGAAGAAGGAGGAGCUCCUUCUCCUUCUUCUCCUCCUUCUCCUCCUUCUUCUUACCCUCCUCCCUCUCCUUCUUCUUCUCCUCUUCUUCUUCUUCCUUCCUUUCAUUUUUCCUCUUUCUUCUCCUCUCGUCCCUUUCUUCGGGCUAAAUUGCCUAAGAAUGCCUUUUUGGAGCUAAUUAUGUCAUUUCAAGGAUAAUUAGCUAAGUAUAGGUCAUUUUUUUAUUAAAUAGACCAUUUAGGAGCUAACUAAGCUAAUUAUGUCAUUUAGAUGGAUAAUUAGCCAAUUUAGGCUUUGUCGGAUGAGUCUCAUUAAGCUACGUAGAAUAAGAGAAAGAGAAGAAGAAGUAAAAGAAGGAGGAGGAGGAGGAGGAGGAGGAGAAGGAGAAGGAAGAGGAGAAGAAGAACAAAAGAAGGAGAAGGAGAAGGAGGAGGAAGGAGGAAGAAGAANNNNNNNNNNNNNNNNNNNNNNNNNNNNNNNNNNNNNNNNNNNNNNNNNNNNNNNNNNNNNNNNNNNNNNNNNNNNNNNNNNNNNNNNNNNNNNNNNNNNUCUUCUUCUUCUUUCUUUUCUCUUUCUCCUCCUCUCCUCUUUCUUCUUCUUCUUCUUCUUCUUCUUCUUCUUUCUUUAUCUUUCUCCUCCUCUCCUCUUUCUUCUUCUUCUUCUUCUUCUUCUUCUUCUUUCUUCUUCUAGUUUAUUAUUCUCUUAUUUUCUUCUAAUUUUGACUAGAUAAAGCAUGUAGAGUAGGAGCAUAACAUAAAAAUUCAGCGCAAACAUACAUGCUUCAUGCAUGAGGUUUAUGUCAACACCUCCUAUCUUCGGACCAAAAGCUUAACAUGCAACUUCUGUCAAAAAAUGCACAUUUACUUCAAAUCCAAAUCUAUCAUUUCUUUUUUGGGGCCCAUACCCUUCUUCAUCUAUCAUUUCUUUUUUCUAUCUAUUUUUUUUCUUUUCUAUCUACUUUUUCUACUUAAUAAACUAACUAUCUAAUUUAACAUAAACACAGAAGAAGAAAAAACUAACUAUCCAAUUUAACAGAAAAAACACAAAAUAAACUAUCUAAAUUAACUAUCUAAUUUAAAAGAAAAAAACAAGAAAUAAAGAGAAAAAGAAAAAAAACCUUACUUGCGUAGGGGCAGUGGGCGGCCGGGACGGAGGGCAGUGGGAGGAGGGGAGGGCGAGCUCCGGCGAGGGGAGGAGUUGCGCGGGGAGGAGGGGCGGCGGCGCUGGAGUGGGCAGUGCACGGGGAGGAGUUGCGUGGGCAGUNNNNNNNNNNNNNNNNNNNNNNNNNNNNNNNNNNNNNNNNNNNNNNNNNNNNNNNNNNNNNNNNNNNNNNNNNNNNNNNNNNNNNNNNNNNNNNNNNNNNGCCAACGCCAUGCAUGGAUACACAUUCUUUUUCUUCCAAAAAUGAGGAUAUACCCAUGGCAUCUGCAUCACAUAUAUAUGCACACAAUCAUAUUAUUAACAACAUGCACACUGUCAUUUGAAGACAGUGCAUCCAUAAUGUCUGGCGCCAUAAUCAUCAUCUACCACUCUACCGACCUACUCACGUAGAACUAGCUAGUGAAAGGAGAAGACGUCGAAAACAUUGAAGUCAUUUCAUCGAUCGCUUUCUAUUAGCAUGCAUUCUUGUUUAUACUGUAGGUGUUCCUAAAGUCAUAAUGUAUGUGUCUAUGUAUGAGGGUCAGCGCUUACUAUGUUAAAGAAAGUAAAGAAAGACAUAUACUCCCUCUGUAAAGAAAUAUAAAAGCGUUGAGAUCACAAAAGUAGUGAUUUAAACGUUCUUAUAUAUAUUUAUUUACAGAGAGAGUACUAAAAAAAUUAUAUACAAAAAACAAAACAAAAACAAAAACUUAAUUUAAAAUGAAAUGAAUUAAGAGCAUUGGUACUACCUUAAAAGAAAAAAAAACUAAAAUCAUACGCAAAGAAAUAUUUGCACACACAUUAGAUAUAAAUUGCAUUAUUCCAUAAUAUGCAAGCACAAACAUAUAAUUGUAUAAUAUGCAAGCACAAGCACAUAAUAGUAUAACAUCCAGACAAUAAAGAAGUUGAAAUAAACUUAAAACAAAUGAUGAAAAAACAUGCACAUAGUUUUCCUUUUUUAUAGUAUGCGGUAAUGAGUGUUAAGAAUAGUGCAAUUUUUUUCACUCUGGUGUAAUUUACACACGUACUGUAUAGUAUUUACAUGUNNNNNNNNNNNNNNNNNNNNNNNNNNNNNNNNNNNNNNNNNNNNNNNNNNNNNNNNNNNNNNNNNNNNNNNNNNNNNNNNNNNNNNNNNNNNNNNNNNNNAACGACCUAUAGUUAGCUAGGGUUCCACCUAAAUGACAUAAUUAGCUUAGUUAGCUCCUAAAUGGUUUAUACUUAGCUAAUUUCUCUCCGAAAUAACCUAUAUAUACACUACUUCAUCUAGUAUUAUUCUUCUAACUUUCUUAUUUGUCAUUUUGCAGAUUACCUUCACUUCACGGGAAGCUUGGAAAAUAUUGAUGGAAUGCUUGAAGAUGAUUUCUUGUACCAUGGGUUGUAUUGAAACUAUUGUAGUAUAUGAAUAUAUGAAACUUUGUAUGCACGUGGAUGAAACUGGUGUAAUAUAUGAAACUUUGUAUGCACGUGGAUGCAACUUGAAAGCUGGAUAUAAGAGGUUAUUUUCAUAUGGUUAUGAGUACGGAAAGAAAUUUAUUUAUGUCAAAUAUAUAUAUAUAUAUAUCCUGAUUAUUGUUAAAAAUGCUGGAUAUAACAAAAUAAAUUAAAAAGGGGUUGGUUCCCCUCUUUGCCGUCUGCCCCCACAUGGCAAAGGGGGAGGCAGACGGCAAAGGGGGGAAUUUGCCCCCUCUCUCUCCCCUCUUUGYCGUMUGCCCCCWCAUGGCAAAGGGGUGGAGGCAAACGGCAAAGGGGGGAAUCUGCCCCCUCUCUCUCCCCUCUUUGCCGUCUGCCCCCACACGGCAAAGNNNNNNNNNNNNNNNNNNNNNNNNNNNNNNNNNNNNNNNNNNNNNNNNNNNNNNNNNNNNNNNNNNNNNNNNNNNNNNNNNNNNNNNNNNNNNNNNNNNNACCAAAAGCCUCAAGUGAGGAAUACGAGUGACAUGAGGACUCUCACAGUUGAGGGUUCCGACCGUUUCGAUAGCCACGCCAAGUCAUUGGUCUUAUCCACUCCAACGGUCAUAUUAUUUAAGGGCAUUAGUGUCAAAUCAUGUCGGAAUGCUCCCAGGCUAUAAAUAGCCACCCCCACAAGCAUUAGCUGGUUGGCUGCUCCGUUAGAAACUGACACUUGUCAUAAGAGCAACCCAAUUCCUCAGAGUCUUCGAGAGUAAUUCAUCAAUGAGGAAAUACACCAUACACCGAAACCACAAACCAAACCUAGUGAUUGAGCAUCACUGAAGAAGUUGUUCCUGUGUGGGACUGAAGCCUUUUACCUUUGAGGACUGUGCAUCCUCCAGACGGUUAGGCGUCAUGGUCUAGAGCUUUCCAGCAGUUAAUUGUGGAUCGUCGGGUGACCAAGUUUGUGAGGGUUUGGAAGUCUGCCCUGAAGACUUACCACGAGUGUUGGGCGAGGACUGUGUGUCCUUAGCUCAAGGAGAACACGGUAGGGACUGUGUGUCCCGGGACUGUGUGUCCUUUGGUUUCAAUACCAAGCCGCUCCAAACCAGAUGUACGACUGUCACAGCAGUUGGAGCUGGGUCAUCAACGAGUGUCUUCACUGAGAAACGGGUUCUAAUUCGUCAACUCCUUACUUUCCUCGUAUUAUGUGUUGAUGACUUUCACUGCGACUGUGUGAAGAAUUUGCUGAAGACUUUCUCUGAAUUUCCUCAACCCCAAAUUCUUCACAUCAGUUAAUCCUCAUCUGUAUUCUGCGUGCCUGCUCACAGUGCAAUCUGUUUUCACAUUCUUCACUCUGAAAAACUGCUGUUGUGAAACUUUGCACUUCUGAUCCUUUACUGUUUCCGCUGUAAGUUAGUCAUCAGUGAGGAAUUUCCUCAAAAGGAAUUUCCUCAGUAAUGAAAUUCUAAAAAUCUCCUAUUCACCCCCCUCUAGUCGAUAUAACGCACUUUCAACACCCACUAGUUCUCCUUUUGAGCUUUCACAUACUUAUAGCUCUAGUGCAUCCUUUGUAUGGCAAUCCCUACUCAUUCACAUUGAUAUCUAUUAAUGGGCAUCUCCAUAGCCCUUUAAUAUGCCGAGUCAAUGUGACCAUCUCCUCCUUUUUGUCUCACAACCACCACCACACUCUAUUCCACCUAUAGUGUUAUAUCCAUGGUUCACGCUCAUGUACUGCGUGAUAGUUGUAAAAUGUUUGAGAAAGUAAGAGUGCGAAAACAAUUACUUGGCCAAUACCGGGGUUGUACAUGAUUUAAAUUAGUUGUGUGAGGAUGAUGGAGCAUAGCCAGACUAUAUGAUUUUGUAGGGAUAACUUUCUUUGGCCUUGUUAUUUCGAAAGUUCAUGAUUACUUUGCUAGUUUGCUUGAAGUAUUAUUGUUUCCAUGUCAAUAGUAAACUAUUGUUUUGAAUCUUACGGAUCUGAACAUUCAUUCCACAAGAAAGAAGUUACAAAGGACAAAUAUGUUAGGUAGCAUUCCACAUCAAAAAUUCAGUCUUUAUCACUUCCCUACUCGAGGACGAGCGGGAGUUAAGCUUGGGGAUGCUUGAUACGUCUCCAACGUAUCUAUAAUUUUUUAUGGUUCCAUGCUAUUAUCUUGUAAACUUUGGAUGUUUUAUAUGCAUGAAUAUGCUAUUUUCUAUAUUUUUUGGGACUAACCUAUUAACUCAGUGCCAAGUGUCAGUUUCUGUUUUUUCCGUAUUUUUGACCCUUUUUCAGACGGAGUCCAAAUGGAACAAAACUUUACGAUGAUUUUUUGGACCAAAAGAGACCCCCGAAGGUUUGGAAGAAGGCCAGAAGAGCCACGAGGGAGUCACAAGCCUGGGAGGUGCGACCAACCCCCUAGGCCGCACCUACCAGGCUUGUGACCUCCUCGUGGGCCCAACCGACGUAAUUCCACCGCCAUAAAUUCCUAUAGAUUCAGAAACCCCCAGAAAGAAACAUAGUCAGGGAGUUCCGCCGCCGCAAGCCUUUGUAGCCACCAAAAACCAAUCUCGAGCCCGUUCUGGCACCCUGCCGAAGGGGGAAUCCAUCUCCGGUGGCCAUCUUCAUUAUCCCGGCGAUCUCCAUGACAAGGAGGCAGUAGUUCUCCCUCGGGGCUGAGGGUAUGUACCAGUAGCUAUGUGUUUGAUCUCUCUCUCUCUCGUGUUCUUGAGAUGUCUUGAUCUCGAUGUACCGCAGGCUUUGCUACUAUAGUUGGAUCUUAUGAGGUUCUUCCCCCUCUCCCUUCUUGUAAUGAAUUGAGUUUCCCCUUUGAAGUUAUCUUAUCGGGAUGAGUCUUUGAGAACACUUGAUGUAUGUCUUGCACGUGUCUGUCUGCGGUGAUCAACUUGCAGGUUUGUGACAUUGGGAACCUAUGCAUAUGGGUUGGCACAUGUUUGAUUCAUGUGAGUACUCGAUGUAUGUUUUGGUGAUCAACUUGCGGGUUCGUGACAUUGGGAACCUAUGCAUUGGGGUUGGCACACAUUUUGACUGUCUGGUAGAAACUUUGGGGCACUCUUUGAAGUUCUAUGUGUUGGUUGAAUAGAUGAUUCCGAGUUUAUGUGAUGCAUAUCGUAUAAUCAUGCCCACGAAUACUUGAGGUGACAAUGGAGUAUCUAGGUGACAUUAGGAUCUUGAUUGAUAUGUAUCUUAAGGUGUUAUUCUAGUACGAACUCUAUGAAAGAUUGAAUGGAAAGAAUAGCUUCGUGUUAUUUUACUACGAACUCUUGAAUAGAUCGAUCAAAAAGAAUAACUUUGUGGUGGUUUCAUACCCGACAAUAAUCUCUUCGUUUGUUCUUCGCUAUUAGUGACUUUGGAGUGACUCUUUGUUGCAUUGAGGGCUAGUUAUAUGAUCCAAUUAUGUUAUCUUUGUUCAGAGAACUUCACUAGUGAAAGUAUGAACCCUAGGCCUUGUUUCCACGCAUUGCAAUACCGUUCGUGCUCACAUUUGUUACUAGUUACCUUGCUGUUUUUGUAAUUUCAGAUUACAAAAACCUAUAUCCACCAUCCAUAUUGCACUUGUUUCACCAUCUCUUCGCCGAACUAGUGCACCUAUAUAACUUACCAUUGUAUUGGGUGUUAUGGGGACACAAGAGACUCUUUGUUAUUUGGUUGGAGGGUUGCUUGAGAGAGACCAUCUUCAUCCUACGCCUCCCGUGGAUUGAUAAACCUUAGGUCACCCACUUGAGGGAAAAUUGCUACUGUCCUACAAACCUCUGCACUUGGAGGCCCAACAACGUCUACAAGGAGAAGGUUGCAUAGUAGACAUCACGCAUCUCCUGGUUCACCCAGUCGACGAAAUUUGCAUUCUCGGUCCUAUAUUUCUACACAAUAUGUUCCCCCUCGAGAGGUUCAUGUGAGUCUUAAAGAAAUAUGUUCAUAACCGUGCUAGGCCAGAAGGAAGCAUCUCCAAGGGCUAUGGAACAGAGGUGGUCAUUGGGUUUUGUGUAGACUUUCUUCGUGACCUUAAGCCGAUUGGUGUUCUUGAAUCGCGACAUGAGGGGAGACUGAGUGGAAAAGGCAUGCUAGGAAAGAAAUCAGUGAUAUUUAGGGAUGACCAUUCUUUCACUCAAGCACACUACACAGUUCUAAAAAGUUCCACCUUCGUGGCUUCGUAUAUCGAGGAACACAAGAAUUUUGUACGCUCCGAGUUCCUGGGGAAGGCUAUCUCCUGGAUUGAAGAAAAACACAUGGAUACUUUUGGCAGUUGGUUGCGAGCACGUCUCUUGAAUGAAAACACUGUUGGAGAUCAACUCUACUUGUUGGCCGCGUCACCUUCUUCGACUGUAUUACAUUUGCAAGGGUACGAGAUAAACUGGAAUACAUUUUACACGAUCGCCAAGAUAAAAAGAGCACCAACCAAAAUAGUGGUGUCCGCUAUGAUGCGAUAGACGAGAAUAGGAAAAAGGACACAUACUAUGGUUACAUAGAGGACAUAUGGGAACUUGACUAUGGACCUACUUUUAAGGUCCCUUUGUUUCGGUGUAAUUGGGUGAACAUGAAUGGAGAAGGGGUAAAGGUAGACCAGUUGUACGGAAUGACACCAGUUGAUCUCAAGAAUCUUGGUUACAGAGACGAGCCAUUCGUCCUAGCCAAUGAUGUGGCUCAGGUUUUCUAAGUGAAAUACAUGUCCUCUAGACCAAAAAAAAGAAAAAAAAUAAGCAAAUGAAUACAUCGGACGAUGAGCCAAAAUGUCACAUAGUUCUUUGAGGGAAAAGAAACAUCGUGGGAAUCGAGGACAAGACACACAUGUUAGCAGAUUAUAAUAAGUUUGAUGAAAUUCGGCCCUUCAUAGUGAGAAUUGACCCAAGCAUCCCGUUAAAUAAUGAAGAUGCUCCAUGGUUACGGCCAAAGCGAUCAUAGGCAAGGGAUCGAAAUAUAAAUCUAUGUAAUGUAUUAAACUUUAUGUGAUGUGUGCUAAUGUANNNNNNNNNNNNNNNNNNNNNNNNNNNNNNNNNNNNNNNNNNNNNNNNNNNNNNNNNNNNNNNNNNNNNNNNNNNNNNNNNNNNNNNNNNNNNNNNNNNNUCAAGUAGAACAAGUACUUAAGGCUCAGAAUGACUUUCUCAAUGAGUUGAAUGACAAUUCUGUCGGAUUCAUCACUAGAGGUGGUAGAAUGACCCAGGAACCUUUGUAUCCUGAGGGUCAUCCUAAGAGAAUUGAACAAGAUUCUCAAGGAGUUAGCACUGAUGCACCUAGUCAUCCUAAGAAGAAGAAAGAUGAUAGGAACUUGCACGCUAGAAACCCCGUUGCCGUUACACCUGAGAGUCCAAACGAUGUCUCUGUCUCUGAUGCUGAAACACAAUCUGGUGAUGAACAUGAGCCUAAUGAUAAUAUCAAUAGUGAUGUUCAUGAAGAUUCUCAACCUAGCAGUGAUAAGGAUGUGGAGAUUGAACCUAAUCUUGAUAACCCACAGCCUUAGAAUAAGAGAUACGAUAAGAAUGACUUCGCUGCUAGGAAGCAUGGCAAAGAAAGGUAACCAUGGGUUCAGAAACCCAUGCCCUUUCCUCCCAAACCAUCCAAGAAAAAGGAUGAUGAGGAUUUUGAGCGAUUUGGUGAGAUGAUUAGACCUGUCUUUCGGCAAAUGCUUUUGAUAGAUAUGCUCAAAAUGUCUCUGUAUGCUAAGUACAUGAAGGAUAUUGUGACUAAUAAGAGGAGGAUACCUGAGGUUGAGAUUUCCACCAUGCUCGCUAACUAUACCUUCAAGGGUGGAACUCCUAAGAAACUAGGCGAUCCCGGAGUGCCCACUAUACAUUGCUCCAUUAAAGGCAACUACGUUAGAACUGCUUUAUGCGAUAUUGGAGUCGGUGUUAGUAUUAUGCCUCUCUCUCUUUAUUGUAGGCUUGAACUGGAUAAGUUGACACCCACUGAAAUCUCUCUGCAAAUGGCCAACAAAUCAACUGCAUUCCCUAUCGGCAUUUGCGAGGAUGUGCCUGUUGUGGUUGCCAACGUCACUAUCUUAACAGACUUUGUUAUUAUGGAUAUUCCCGAGGACGAUGCCACGGUGGUCAUCCUUCGAAGAUCCUUUUUAAACACUACAGGGGCUGUUAUAGAUUGCAACAAAGGCAAUGUCACUUUCCAUGUCAACGGUAAUGAGCAUAUGGUGCACUUUCCGAAGAAACAAUAUCGAGUACAUUGCAUCAAUGCUAUCGAAAAAACUUCAUCGAUUCUUAUUGGGAGCUUUGAAUGCCCUAUACCUCCUGUUAAGAUGAAGUAUGAUUUGCUUGUUGGGGAUAUUCACAUCCCCAUUGAGGUAACCUAGUGACUAUUCGAAAAUUCUCUGUCUUCUUUUGCGAUUCGAAAAAGUUUGUCAAGGAGACUUGAUCAACCUCAUUGACGGAUUUCUUUCGAUGACCAUGAGAUGGAUGAAUCGAGGAGUCACAAACCUCUAUUCCAAGCUUUCACCUUCGGUUGCUUAGAAGAAAAAUAAUAGAUUUAGUUUAGUUUUCCCUGUUUUUUGUUUUUGCGUCCCGUAGAAAAGUACCCCGAAAAUAAAAGUUCUCCGAAUGUCCUGAAAAUCAAGUAUGAUUUUUUCUGGAAUUUUGGAAAAGUACUGAGACGAAGAGCUAGUCACGAGGCUGCACGAGUGGGCCACAAGCCCUGGCGGCGCGGGCACCCCCCUGACCGCGCCUACCAGGCUUGUGGGGCCCACGUGCACCCCCUCCACUCAUUCUAGCUCCCAUCUACUUCUCCUACAUCCAGAACAAAAUUGUUUCGCAGCUCAAACCCGUGUUCUUGCUCUUCUUGCUAGGAUUUUCGAUCUCCUUUUGCAAAGCACCAUUCAUCGUUUUGGGGAAAUUACUCCUUGAUAAGUGACUCCUCCAUUGGUCCAAUUAGUUUUUGCUCUAGUGCCUUAUACUUCGCGUAUUUUUGCUGCCUUGGUGACCCUGUUCUUGAGCUUUGCAUGCUAAUUUUAGCUGGUCCCAAGUAGUUUUGAUGCGUAAUAUGACCUCUAGGCACUUGUGGGAGUAGUUGCUACGAGUUUAGUUGAGCCUUGUUCACUUUUCCUUUGGGUCACUGAAAAUUUCAGAAAAGGAAGAUGUUCAGGAGAAACUAUCAUGGUGGUUCCUCAAGCAAGAGAGGUCCCCGUCUUGCGAUUCGGGAACCCGAUCCUUACCAACCGAGGAACGCACAUGUACAACCAUGUGAAUGGCCUUCUGAUGAAUUCAUGAUUGAGGCAGGUUUCAAAGACGAGUUUGAUACAUUUGUUCCCAACGUCGGACUCGAAGAAUUCAUCUCCGAUAAAUGUGAACAGUAUGUUUCUCUCACUGCCUCUUUUGUUUGUAGAUUCAAAUUUUCAGUUGGCCAUGAUACAUCUCUACUGUUUGAUCUCUAUGACAAAUCGUAUACCAUGGAUUUAGAGGAUUUCAAUAGAAUUUGCAAGAUACCUAUUUGGGGUAGUCUCAAUGAUCCUCCUAAAUCUUCGGUUAGAGAUGUUUUCUCUGGUAUAACUGUUGGAGAAACUAGAGAUAUUACAUAGGCUACCAUGUGGAGCAUUCAUUUUCCUAGCUUGCAUUAUUUUGCCCUCUUCAUAGGCAGAUGCAUUAAUGGCAAGGUUGAGCAUUGUCAUCUCUGCGCACCCGACCUUACUAUUCUUAAGAGCGCAGUACCGGGUGAUAGAAGUUUCAACAUGGGAGCUAUAAUAGCAAGGAGGCUGAAUAAUAAUGCUAAUGAAGGGGAUUUCUUUGGUGGGAUCUAUGCCACUCGCAUAGCAAAUUUUCUUGGAGUACCCAUCCGCGAAGGAGAUCCCCCGCUCCAUACAGCUUUCCUUGAUCGCACCGCUUUGACACGCUAUCAGUUCCUUGAGGGGGAUGAUGAAUCCCUCCUAUACCGUUUAAUAUUUAACCGGCAGCGUGUUUUCCAUAUCACCCUUCCUUCUCCUACCUUCUUUGACUCUCAGGAAAAACGGAGAUAUUACAUAACCAGAGGAGAGGCAUAAGAGUAUGAGAGGGAGGCAAGGGCUGCUCAUCUCCGUGAGGCAGCUAUUCAGGCAAUGGCUGCAACGCUCCCGUACAACCCCUAUUAUGAUUUUGGGUAUCGCCCGGACCAUCCAUGGGAGUAGACCAACUUAGGCCAAAAUCCUAACCUUGGGGGAGUACGUGUUUCUCACCGACUUUAUAUUGUUGCUUACGCCUUCACUUUGUUAGUCGGUGUUCACACUUUGCCACUGUAUCAUCCAUGCUAGUUUAUUUUCUCUUUCUCGUUUUCUUUUCGUGUGUUUGUCUAGUUUGAGAAAAACCCAAAAAGAUUUUCGUUCUUCUUUUGCUUGUUGGGAGCUUUCCCGUGUAAAUAGUUUUCUUUUUCUUUGGGUCAAGGUAGAAAACAAUGGUUACAAUGUUUAGUGGCUCUCGCAUGCAUAUCUGUUUACCUGUUAAAGAGCCAUAUUACUUUGUCUUCUCCUUUGUGUUUGCCUGCAGAUUCCAGCUUUAGUCCAAUGCACGAGCACUCUUAUUAUUGUUCACAUCAUUCGUUCAUGCAAGUGAAAGGCAAUAAUGAUGAUAUAUGAUGAAGUGAGUGAGCCUGGAAAAGCUGGUAUGAACUCGAUCUACUUUUUUUUGUAAAUAUGACUAGCUCAUCGUUUCUAGUUCAGCUUUGUUGUGAGAGAAACAUGUUUGCAAUGACAACUUAGAGAUCAUAGUUCCUGAUGCCAUGCCUAAUUAGCUAGGAGCUUAUAAUGCUUUGCCUUCGAUACCAACAUGAAUUUUGAGAUGACUGUGAUGUAGUAUGAUAGGAUGGUAUCCUCCUUUGAAUGAUUCAAGUGGCUUGACUUGGCGCAUGUUUAUGCAUGUAGUUGAAACGAAAUCAACAUAGCCUCUAUGAUGUUCAUGUUCAUGGUGAUUUAUGUCCUACUCAUGUUUGACCUCAAUGUUGGUUAAUCUCAAUGCAUUUUGAUGACUGUUGUCGCUCUCUAGUUGGUCGCUUCCCAGUCUUCUGCUAGCCUUCACUUGUACUAAGCGGGAAUACUGCUUGUGCAUCCACUUCCAUAAACCCAAAGUUGUUCUACAUGAGUCCACCAUACCUACCUAUAUGCGGUAUCUACCUACCGUUCCAAGUAAAUUCGGAUGUGCCACUCUCUAAACCUUCAAGAAAUAAUAUGUUUUGCAUGCCCGAACCGCUCAUGUGGUGACAGGGGGCUAUCAGUAUCUUCCAUGCUAGGCGUGUUAUCCUCGAUAUAUGUUUAUUCACUAUCAUUCACGAGAAAGGGGACAGUAAUUGGAAUGCCCAGUUCCAUGUUCAAAUCGAAAAGAUAAUUGCAAACAAAACUCCCACUGGAUUGAUGUUGGUAUGGACGGCACCCGAGGAUUCGGCUAGUCAUGGAGUGUGAUUGAUCGGUGGUGGGGGAGUCAAAACUUUACUUUUCUGUUUCAGAACCGCCUAUAGAAUGUGUAGCGUGGAAGAUGGUGAGAACUCUUAAUCAUUGCGUUGACAAUGAAAGCAUGCCACCCAAAAUCAUUAUGUCUUUUUUAAAAGCUUGAGCUCUGGCACCUCGGCAAAUCAAUGCUUCCCUCUGCGAAGGGCCUAUCUAUUUAUGUUCCUAUUGAGUCAUCCUCUUCUUAUAAAAGCACCAAUUUGAGAGCACCUCUGUCAUUUUUAUGCUUCUAUUUUAACUAUGAUUGAGUAUGACUGUGACUGGAUCUUCUUUGCCAUGAAUUAGAAUGUCUAGUCAGUCAUUGGUCUUUGAAGGUGCUCUGCAUUUAUGUUUUGUGGUCUCAGAAAGAGCUAGCGAUAUACCAUAUGUUCACAUUGCUUCAUGAUUGUUUUGAUUGAAGUGUUGACGUUUGAAACUUAUUAUUAUUGCUCGCUAGUUGAUUAUGCCAUUAAUUUGAGUUUAACGUGAGACAUAGAUGUCAUUUGCUUAUGUGGUUAGCCUGUGAUCUUGCUAAUAUUCUGGAUAUGAGUUAGACAUAGUUGCAACAACUAGAUCAAACAGAGUUCGUAAAAGUUUUUCCUUUGUCUGUUUCAGUUUGUCAACUGCAUUGCUUGAGGAUAAGCAAGGUUUUAAGAUUGGGGGAGUGAUACGUCCAUUUUGCAUCAUGCUUUCAUGUUGAUAUUUAUUGCUUUUUGGGCUGUUAUAUUACUUGUGGUACCAUAUUUAUGCCUUUUCUCUCUUAUUUUGCAAGGUUUAUUUGAAGAGGGAGAAUUCUGGCAGCUGGAAUUCUGGACUGGAGAAGGAGCAAAUCCUAGUCCACUAUUCUACACAUCUCCAAAUGCCGUGAAAAUUUACGUGGAUUUUUCUGGAAUAUAUUAAAAAUACUGGGCGAAAGAACUACCGGAGGGGGGCCACCAGGGCCCCACAAGCUUGUCCACUACCACCACCCCCUGGUGGCGCAGGGCAGGCUUGUGGGCUGCCUGAAGCAUCCUGGUCUGGUAAAAAUCAAUCGGGAGCUUUUUCGUGGUUUCGCCGCCGCCACGAGGCGGAACUUGAGCAGAUCCAAUCUAGAGCUCCGGCAGGACGAUCCUGCCGGGGAAACUUCCCUCCCGGAGGGGGAAAUCGUCGCCAUCGUCAUCACCAACACUCCUCUCGUCGGAGGGCAGGCAUCUUCAUCAACAUCUUCAUCAGCACCAUCUCCUCUCCAAUCCCUAGUUCAUCUCUUGUAACCAAUCUUCGUCUCGCAACUCAGAUUGGUACUUGUAAGGUUGCUAGUAGUGUUGAUUACUCUUUUUAGUUGAUGCUAGUUGGAUUACUUGGUGGAAGAGUUUAUGUUCAGAUCCCUGAUGCUAUUCAUUACACCUCUGAUCAUGAUUAUGAUUAUGUCUUGUGAGUAGUUACUUUUGUUCCUGAGGACAUGGGAUAAGUCAUGUUAAUAAUAGUCAUGUGAAUUUGAUAUUCGUUCGGUAUUUUGAUAUGAUGUAUGUUGUUUUUCCUCUAGUGGUGUUAUGUGAACAUCGACUACAGAACACUUCACCAUAUUUGGGCCUAGAGGAAGGCAUUGGGAAGUAGUAAGUAGAUGAUGGGUUGCUGGAGUGACAGAAGCUUAAACCCCAGUCUAUGUGUUGCUUCGUGAGGGGCUGAUUUGGAUCCACUAGUUUAAUGCUAUGGUUAGACUUUGUCUUAAUUCUUCUUUUGUAGUUGCGGAUGCUUGCGAGAGAGGUUAAUCAUAAGUGGGAUGCUUUUCCAUGUAAGGGCAGUACCCAAGCGCCGGUCCACCCACAUAUCAAACCAUCAACGUAACGAACGCGAAUCAUAUGAACAUGAUGAAACUAGCAUGACAGAAAUUCCCGUGUGUCCUCGGGAGUGUUUUUCCUCAUAUUAGACUUUGUUCAGGCUUGUCCCUUGCUAGAAAGUGAUUGGGCAACUUGCUGCACCGUUGCUACUACUUUUUACGUGUUACUCUUUGCUUGCUACAUUUCACCUCGCUACACAAUCACUUGUUACCGCUACUUUGAGUGCUUAUAGUUAUUACCUUGCUGAAAUCCGUUUAUCAGAGCCUUCUGCUCCUCGUUGGGUUCGACACUCUUACUUAUCGAAAGGACUACGAUUGAUCCCCUAUACUUGUGGGUCAUAAAGACUCUUUUCUGGCGCCGUUGCCGGGGAGUGAAGCGCCUUUGGUAAGUGGAAAUUGGUAAGGAAACAUUUAUAUACUGUGCUGAAAUUUAUUAUCACUUGUCACUAUGGAAACUCUUCCUUUCAAGAGUUUGUUCGGGGUAUAUUCACCACGAACGGAAGCACGAGGAGUUGCUCCUCAACCUGAGGUACCUACUGAAAAUAUCUUUCAUGAAAUUCCUUUGGGUAUGCUUGAGAAACUGCUGGCUAAUCCUUUCAUGGGAGAUGGAUCUUCACAUCCACACUUGCAUCUAAUCUAUGUAGAUGAAGUUUGUGGUUUAUUUAAGCUUGCCGGUUUCCCAAGGAUGAUGUAAAGAAGAAAGUCUUUCCUUUAUCUUUGAAGGAUAAGGCGUUGACAUGGUAUAGGCCUCGUGACAGGGAAAGCAUAGCUCAAGCUUGGGGAAGGCUUAAAUCAAUGCUAUAUUCAUGCCCCGAUCAUGAGCUCUCGAGAGAAAUCAUCAUUCAAAACUUUUAUGCUCGGCUUUCUCAUGAAGAUCGUACCAUGCUUGACACUUCUUGUGCUGGUUCUUUUUGUUGGGUAACGUAGCAUAAAUUCAAAAUUUUCCUACGCAUGUUCAGAUCUUCCUAUGGAGAGACCAGCAACGAGAGAGGGGUAAGAGCAUCUUCGUACCUUUGAAGAUCGCUAAGCGGAAGCGUUGCUAGAACGCGGUUGAUGGAGUCGUACUCGCAGCGAUUCCGAUCUAGUGCCGAACAACGGCACCUCCGCGUUCAACACACGUGCAGCCCGGUGACGUCUCCCGCACCUUGAUCCAGCAAGGAGGAGGGAGAGGUUGGGGAAGAAGACCAGCAACACGACGGCGUGGUGUUGGUGGAGAGACGAGGUCUCCCGGCAGGGAUUCGCCAAGCGCCGGCAGAGAGGAGGAGGAAGAAGUGCAGGGCUGCGCCGAGGGAGAGGGAAAACUGUGUCCUCCAAAGGCCAAAAGUGCCCACUAUAUAUAGGGGAAGGGGAGAGGGGGUGCCACCCCUAGGGUUCCCACCCUAGGGGGUGUGGCAGCCCUCCCAGAUGGGGUUUGUGGCGGCCAGAUGGGGAGGAGGGGGUGGUGCACCCCUCUGGUGGGCCUAAGGCCCACCUAAGUUAGGGUUCCCCCCCUCUUUUUCUUUCCCCUGCGCCAUGGGCUGAGUGGGGAGGCGCACCAGCCCAACUAGGGGCUGGUUCCCACCCCCACUUAGCCCAUAUUACCUCUUGGGGUCGCAGCCCCCCUUCGGUGGUCCCCCGGGACCACCUCCGGUGGUCCCGGUGGUCCCGGUACGUUACCGGUGAUGCCCGAAACACUUCCGGUGUACGAAACCAUCCGUCCUAUAUAUCAAUCUUCACCUCCGGACCAUUCCGGAGCUCCUCGUGACGUCCGGGAUCUCAUCCGGGACUCCGAACAACUUUCGGUAAUCUCGUAUAACAAUUCCCUAUAACCCUAGCGUCAUCGAACCUUAAGUGUGUAGACCCUACGGGUUCGGGAGACAGGGAGACAUGACCGAGACUCCUCUCUGGCCAAUAACCAUCAGCGGGGUCUGGAUACCCAUGGUGGCUCCCACUAGCUCCACGAUGAUCUCAUCGGAUGAACCACGAUGUCAAGGAUUCAAUCAAUCCCGUAUACGAUUCCCUUUGUCUGUCGGUAUAGAACUUGCCCGAGAUUCGAUCGUCGGUAUGCCUAUACCUUGUUCAAUCUCCUUACUGGUAAGUCUCUUUACUCGUUCCGUAGCACGUCAUCGUGUGACUAACUCCUUAGUCACAUUGAGCUCAUGAUGAUGUUCCACCGAGUGGGCCCAGAGAUACCUCUCUGUCACACGGAGUGACAAAUCCCAAUCUCGAUUCGUGCCAACCCAACAGACACUUUCGGAGGUACCCGUAGUGCACCUUUAUAGUCACCCAGUUAUGUUGUGACGUUUGAUACACCCAAAGCACUCCUACGGUAUCCGGGAGUUGCACAAUCUCAUGGUCGAAGGAAAAGAUACUUGACAUUAGAAAAGCAUUAGCAUACGAACAAUACGAUAUAGUGCUUGGCUUAGGAUUGGGUCUUGUCCGCCACAUCAUUCUCCCAAUGAUGUGAUCCCGUUAUCAAUGACAUCCAAUGUCCAUGAUCAGGAAACCAUGAUCAUCUAUUGACUAACGAGCUAGCUAACUAGAGGCUUGCUAGGGACACAUUGUGAUCUAUUCAUUCACACAUGUAUUAGUGUUUCCUGUUAAUACAAUUAUAGCAUGAACGAUAGACGAUUAUCAUGAACAAGGAAAUAUGAUAAUAACCAUUUUAGUAUUGCCUCUAGGGCAUAUUUCCAACAGUCUCCCACUUGCACUAGAGACAAUAAUCUAGUUACAUUGUGAUGUAUCGAACACCCAUAGCAUUAUGGUGCUGAUCAUGUUUUGCUCGUGGAAGAGGUUUAGUCAACGGGUCUGCAAUAUUCAGAUCCGUGUGUACUUUACAAAUAUCUAUCACUCCAGUUUGGACAUGGUCCUGGAUGGAGUUGUAGCGGCGCUUGAUGUGCUUCGUCUUCCGGUGAAACCUGGGCUCUUUGGCUGUGGCAAUGGCUCCAGUGUUAUCACAGAAGAGUGUCAAAGGACCCGACGCGCUUGGAACCACUCCAAGGUCGGUGAUGAGCUCCUUCAUCCAAAUUCCUUCAUGAGCCGCUUCUGAAGCAUCUAUGUACUCCGCUUCACAUGUAGCUGCUGCCACGACUUCUUGCUUGCUGCUGCACCAGCUCACUGCCCCACCAUUCAACACAUAUACGUAUCCGGUUUGUGACUUAGAGUCAUCCGGAUCUGUGUCGAAGCUAGCGUCGACGUAACCCUUUACGACGAGCUCUUCGUCACCUCCAUAAACGAGAAACAUUUCCUUAGUCCUUUUCAGGUACUUAAGGAUAUUCUUGACCGCUGUCCAGUGUUUUGCACCGGGAUUACUUUGGUACCUCCCUACCAAGCUUAUCGCAAGGUUUAUAUCAGGUCUGGUACACAGCAUGGCAUACAUUAGAGAGCCCACGGCUGAAGCGUAGGGGACAGAACUCAUCUUCUCUCUAUCUGCUGCCGUGGUCGGCGACUGAGUCUUACUCAAUCUCAUACCUUGCAAGACUGGCAAGAACCCUUUCUUUGAGUUUUCCAUAUUGAAUUUCUUCAAUAUCUUGUCAAGGUAUGUACUUUGCAAAAGACCUAUGAGGCGUCUCGAUCUAUCUCUAUAGAUCUUGAUGCCUAAUAUGUAUGCAGCUUCUCCAAGGUCCUUCAUUGAAAAACUCUUGUUCAAGUAGGCCUUUAUGCUCUCCAACAUCUCUAUAUCAUUCCCCAUCAAUAAUAUGUCAUCCACAUAUAGUACGAGGAAAGCUACAGAGCUCCCACUCACUUUCUUGUACAGACAGGCUUCUCCGUAAACCUGUAUGAACCCAAACGCAUUGAUCACCUCAUUAAAGCGAAUGUUCCAACUCCGAGAUGCUUGCACCAACCCAUAGAUGGAGCGCUGGAGCUUGCAUACUUUGUUAGCAUCUUUAGGAUCGACAAAACCUUCUGGUUGCAUCAUAUACAACUCUUCCUUAAGAUUCCCGUUAAGGAAUGCUGUUUUGACGUCCAUUUGCCAAAUUUCAUAAUCAUAAAAGGCGGCAAUUGCUAACAUGCUUCGGACUGAUUUCAGCUUCGCUACGGGAGAGAAAGUCUCUUUGUAGUCAACUCCUUGAAUUUGUCGAAAACCCUUUGCGACAAGUCGAGCUUUGUAAACGGUUACAUUACCAUUUGCAUCAGUCUUCUUCUUGAAGAUCCAUAUAUUUUCUAUGGCUCGCCGGUCAUCGGGCAAGUCCACCAAAGUCCAUACUUUGUUCUCAUACAUGGAUCGUAUCUCGGAUUUCAUGGCCUCAAGCCAUUUGUUGGAAUCCGGGCCCGCCAUUGCUUCUUCAUAGUUCGAAGGUUCACCGUUGUCUAACAACAUGAUUUCCAUCACAGGGUUGCCGUACCACUCUGGUGCGGAGCGUACCCUUGUGGACCUUCGUGGUUCAGUAGUAACUUGAUCCAAAGCUUCAUGAUCAUCAUCAUUAACUUCCUCUUCAGUUGGUGUAGGCAUCACAGGAACAACUUCUUGCGUUGCGCUACUUUCCUGUUCGAGAGGGGGUGUAAUUACCUCAUCAAGUUCUACCUUCCUCCCACUUACUUCUUUCGAGAGAAACUCUUUCUCUAGAAAGGAUCCGUUCUUGGCAACAAAGGUUUUACCUUCGGAUCUAAGAUAGAAGGUAUACCCAAUAGUUUCCUUAGGGUAUCCUAUGAAUACGCAUUUCUCCGCUUUGGGUUCGAGCUUUUCUGGUUGAAGUUUCUUCACAUAGGCAUCGCAGCCCCAAACUUUAAGAAACGAAAACUUAGGUUUCUUGCCAAACCACAGUUCAUACGGUGUCGUCUCAACGGAUUUAGACGGUGCCCUAUUUAAAGUGAAUGCUGCAGUUUCUAAUGCGUAUCCCCAAAAUGAUAUCGGCAAGUCGGUGAGACACAUCAUAGAUCGUACCAUAUCUAAUAAGGUGCGAUUACGACGUUCAGACACUCCGUUGCGCUGCGGUGUGCCAGGCGGCGUUAGUUGUGAAACGAUUCCACACUUUCUUAGGUGUGUGCCAAACUCGUGACUCAAAUAUUCUCCUCCAUGAUCAGAUCGUAGACAUUUUAUUUUUCUGUCACGUUGAUUCUCAACCUCACUCUGAAAUUCCUUGAACUUUUCAAACGUCUCAGAUUUGUGCUUCAUCAAGUAGAUAUACCCAUACCUACUCAAAUCAUCGGUGAGAGUGAGAACAUAACGAUAACCACCGCGAGCUUCAACGUUCAUUGGACCACACACAUCAGUAUGUAUCAUUUCCAAUAAGUCGGUGGCUCUCUCCAUUAUUCCUGAGAAUGGAGUCUUAGUCAUCUUGCCCAUGAGGCACGGUUCGCAUGUGUCAAAUGAUUCAAAGUCAAGAGACUCUAGCAGUCCAUCAGUAUGGAGCUUCUUCAUGCGCUUAACGCCGAUAUGACCAAGGCGGCAGUGCCACAAGUAUGUGGGACUAUCAUCAUAAACUUUGCAUCUUUUGGUACUCACACUAUGAAUAUGUGUAACAUCACGAUCGAGAUUCAUCAAGAAUAAACCAUUCACCAGCGGAGCAUGACCAUAAAACAUAUCACUCAUAUAAAUAGAACAACCAUUAUUCUCUGACUUAAAUGAGUAGCCGUCUCGCAUUAAGCAAGACCCUGAUACAAUGUUCGUGCUUAAAGCUGGUACUAAAUAACAAUUAUUGAGGUUCAAAACUAAUCCCGACGGUAGGUGUAGAGGUAGCGUGCCGACGGCGAUCACAUCGACUUUUGAACCAUUCCCGACGCGCAUCGUCACCUCGUCCUUGGCCAGUCUCCGCUUAUUCCGUAGUUCCUGCUUUGAGUUGCAAAUGUGAGCAACAGCACCGGUAUCAAAUACCCAGGAGCUACUACGAGCGCUGGUAAGGUACACAUCAAUAACAUGUAUAUCACAUAUACCUUUAACGUUGCCGGCCUUCUUGUCCGCUAAGUAUUUGGGGCAGUUCCGCUUCCAGUGACCUUUUCCCUUGCAGUAGAAGCACUCAGUCUCUGGCUUGGGUCCGUUCUUUUUCUUCUUCCCGGCAUCUGGCUUACCGGGCGCGGCAACAGCUUUGCCGUCUUUCUUGAAGUUCUUCUUACCCUUUCCUUUCUUGAAACUAGUGGUCUUGUUGACCAUCAACACUUGAUGCUCCUUCUUGAUUUCUACUUCUGCAGACUUGAGCAUCGAGUACAACUCGGGAAUGGUUUUCUCCAUCCCUUGCAUGUUGUAGUUAAGCACAAAGCCUUUGUAGCUUGGUGGGAGAGACUGGAGGAUUCUGUCAAUGAUAGCAUCAUCCGGAAGUUCGACUCCAAGUGAAGUCAGACGACCGUGUAACCCAGACAUUUUGAGUAUGUGCUCACUGACAGAACUGUUCUCCUCCAUCUUAGAGCUGAAGAACUUGUCGGAGACUUCAUAUCUCUCGACACGGGCAUGAGCUUGAAAAACUAGCUUCAGCUCUUGGAACAUCUCAUAUGCCCCGUGUUGCUCAAAACGUCUUUGGAGCCCCGUUUCUAAACUGUAUAACAUGCCACACCUGACCAGAGAGUAGUCAUCACUCCGCGCUUGCCCGACGUUUAGAAUGUCCUGGGCUGCUGCGGGAGCGGGAGGGUCACCUAGCGGCGCAUUAAGGACAUAAGCCUUUUUACUUGCUUCAAGGAUGAGCUUCAGGUUGCGAACCCAGUCCGCAUAGUUGCUACCAUCAUCUUUCAGCUUGUUUUUCUCUAGGAAUGCGUUGAAGUUGAGGUUGACGUUGGACAUCUACAAUAUUUAUAAAGACAACUUUCAGACUAAGUUCAUGACAAUUAAGUUCAUUUAAUCAAAUUAAGUAUGAACUCCCACUUAAAUCGACAUCCCUCUAGUCAUCUAAGUGUUACAUGAUCCAUGUUGACUAACCCGUGUCCGAUCAUCACGUGAGACGGACCAGUCACCAUGGUGAGCAACUUCAUGCUGAUCGUAUUCAACCAUACGACUCAUGUUCGACCUUUCGGUCUCUUGUAUUCGAGGUCAUGUCUGUACAUGCUAAGCUCGUCGAGUCAACCUAAUUGUUUUGCGUGUGUAAAUCUGGCUUACACCCGUCGUAUGCGAACGUUAGAAUCUAUCACACCCGAUCAUCACGUGGUGCUUCGAGACAACGAACCUUCGCAACGGUGCACACUUAGGGGAAUACGUUCUCGAAAUUUUAAGAGGGAUCAUCUUAUUAUGCUACCGUCGUUCUAAGAAAUAAGAUGUAAAACAUGAUAAACAUCACAAUGCAAUCAUAUAGUGACAUGAUAUGGCCAUUAUCAUCUUUGCUCAUUCGAUCUCCAUCUUCAGGCAUCGCAUGAUCAUCAUCGUCACCGGCGUGACACCAUGAUCUCCAUCAUCAUGAUCUCCAUCAUCGUGUCUCCGUGAAGUCGUCACGCCAACUACUACUAUCACUACUACUAUAGCUAACCGUUAGCAAUGAAGUAAAAGUAGUAAGCACAUGGCGUUGCAUCUCAUACAAUAAAUUAAGACAACUCCUAUGGCUCCUGCCGGUUGUCAUACUCAUCGACAUGCAAGUCGUGAAACCUAUUAGAAUAACACGAUCAUCUCAUACAUCAUACAUGCAACAUCACAACUUUGGCCAUAUCACAUCACUUGUCAAACCCUGCAAAAACAAGUUAGACGUCCUCUAAUUGUUGUUGCAAGUUUUACGUGGCUGAUUUGGGUUUCUAGCAAGAACGCCUUCUUACCUACGUAACAGCCACAACGAUGAUAUGCCAAAGAUAUUUACCCUUCAUAAGGACCCUUUUCAUCAAAUCCAAUCCGACUAGAGUAGGAGAGACAGACACCCGCUAGCCACCUUUAUGCACGAUGUGCAUGUCUGUCGGUGGAACCAGUCUCACGUAAGCGUACGUGUAAGGUCGGUCCGGGCCGCUUCAUCCCACAAUACCGCCGGAAAAGAAUAAGACUAGUAACGGCAAGCAAAUUGACAAACCAUCGCCCACAACUUUUGUAUUCUACUCGUGCAUAGAAUCUACGCAUAGAAAACCUGGCUCGGAUGCCACUUUUGGGUAACGUAGCAUAAAUUCAAAAUUUUCCNNNNNNNNNNNNNNNNNNNNNNNNNNNNNNNNNNNNNNNNNNNNNNNNNNNNNNNNNNNNNNNNNNNNNNNNNNNNNNNNNNNNNNNNNNNNNNNNNNNNUAUAUAUAUAAUAUGGUAUAUUAGGCAUUCACACAAAGAUAUGGUUAACUAUGUAAUCUGUACUUCAGUACAGUGCUAGGUAUGAAACAUGCAAUUGGGCAUCCAACGCGAGCUAAAAAAUAGUUUAAAAGCACCUAAGUGCGCGCUUAUCUUUGCUCCCAGCCAUUAAUCUCAUAUUCUCAUCCCAUAUAUAUAUUGUUGUUCUGUGUUCAUUAUGCAAAUGAUAGGUAUUGGCCUUACUCCAAUUACUUCCAGCUGCUUGUAUUAGAAUCGGUUUUUCAUAUUUAUAGGGUUUACUUCCAGAAAUUUCUCCUACUUUUCACCUUGAAGAACUGUAUAUGUACUUGUUCUAGCUGUGAUUUCAUUUCAGAAAGUAAAGUGCAACGGUUUUGUUGUUAGUCAGGCACCUAAAAUUUUUCUCCAUCGGUCAAUUUUUGUAGCCGUAUGUUAAUUACUUAUAUUUUCCUUCUUUUCCAAUCCAUCAAUCGAUGGAUUCUAUGGCCCAAGUAUUUUUCAUUGUUUUCUCUAUGUGGGCAAGAGUUUUCAUUUGUGGGCUUGUAGGAGGUUGCCCGGGUGUGUAUGACUCUACAUGUAUGAUUACUUUCCCCUAAAAAAGCAUGUAUGAUUACUUUUAUCUCAGCUCGUUUUUUCAUUUCCCUUUAUAUUUAAUUGAUUAUUUAUUUAUUAAUUUGUGUCAGUGUGUAGAUUGUUGCUCUUUCCAUUGUGUGUGCGAGUGUGUUCAUGUGUGUGCAUAUAUAUACACGCAAGCGUGCAUGCAUUUGAGAGAUGUGAGACCGACACUAGUAAAAACAUAUGUAGUCCCCGUUGGGAAGGGACUAGUAGAAAACAGGUUUGUAGUUCCCAUUGGAGAGUGACUAGUAGAAACCAGACGGGACUAAUGCUCCGGACGAAAGCCCUAUUUUCUACUAGUACGACUCCACAUGAUAUGCAAUUCAUCUUCUACAGUUUGAGAGAUGAUUAAUCACCAACAUUGGUGCUUUGUUAGUUGAAUAUAGAUUAUACCAUUAUCUGAAAUUAUUGAUAUUAUAUGUUUGUUCUUGUACAUUGUAGAACAAUACAAGUCCUGUGUAAUAUGUGUCUACGUUUUUAUCAUCAUUUCCUUUAUUUUUUCUUUCUUCAUUUUCUUUCUUCUUUAGAGUAAUACCAAUGCACUUAAUUCAUUCUAUCAUAGAGUAACAUUUAUUUUUAUUUUGUUUGUAUAUAUGUUAUUAGAUUUUGCCAUUGGACAGGCCUCCGAAUGUUCAAUCCUUCCUUUUCAUUUUCAUGUGUGUUUGCUUAUGUGUUUACCCUUUUAUGAGUUAUUUUUUUUUCUUUUAUGUGUAUAUCUGAUGAUGUGUGUUUUGUGAGUAUACAUGUAAAUACUAUACAGUACAUGUGUAAAUUACACCAGAGUGAGAAAAUUGCACUAUUCUUAACAUUUAUUACCGCAUAUUAUAAAAAAGUGCAAAUUAUGUGCACGUUUUUUAAUCAUUUGUUUUAAGUUUAUUUCAACUUCUUUAUUGUUUGGAUGUUAUACUGUUAUGUGCUUGUGGUUGCAUAUUAUACAAUUAUAUGUUUGUGCUUGCGUAUUAUGGAACACUACAUGCAAGUUAUAUCUUAUGUGUGUGCAAAUAUUUCUUAGCGUAUGAUUCUAGGCUCUUUUUUCUUAGAAGAUAGUACCAGUGCCCUUAAUUCAUUUCAUUUUAAAAUAAGUUUUUGUUUUUGAUUUUGUUUUUUGUAUAUGAUUUUUUAAUACUCUCUCUGUAAAGAAAUAUAAAACGUUUAGAUCACUUGGUGAUCUCAAUGUUUUUAUAAAAACGUUUAGAUCACUUGGUGAUCUCAACGUUUUUAUAUUCCUUUACAGAGGGAGUAUAUGUCUUUGUUUACUUUCUUUAACAUAGUAAGCGUUGACGCUCAUACAUAGACAUGUAUAUGACUUUAGGAACACAUACAGUAUAACAGGAAUGCAUGCUAUUAGAAAGCGAUCGAUGAAAUGACUUCAAUGUUUUCGACGUCUUCUCCUUUGACCGGUUAGUUCUACGUGAGUAGGGCCGCAGUGUGGUAGAUGAUGAUUAUGGCGGCAGACAUUAUGGAUGCAGUGUCUUCAGAUGACAGUGUGCAUGUUGUUAAUAAUAUGGUUGUGCGCAUAUGUGAUGCAGAGGCCAUGGAUAUAUCCUCAUUUUUGGAAGAAAUGAAUGUGUAUCCAUGCAUGGCGUUGGCUGCUGCCCAUAAGUAGCAUUGCUUCUUCGCCAUCCUCCAUUAUAAUCAUUUUAUCAUAUGAUAUAUACUUACAGUAUGUCACAUCAUUUUUAUUAUAUAUAUAAUAUGGUAUAUUAGGCAUUUGAGACAAAGAUGUGGUUAACUAUGUAAUAUGUAUUUCAGUACUGUGCUAGGUAUGAAAGAUGCAAUUGGGCCCUCCAACACGAGCUAAAAAUUAGUUUAAAGCACCUAAGUGCGCGCUUAUCUUUGCUCCCAGCUAUUAAUCUCCUAUUCUCACCCCAUAUAUAUAUUGUUGUUCUGUGUUCAUUAUGCAAAUGAUAGGUGUUGGUCUUACUCCAAUUACUUCCAGCUGCUUGUAUUAGGAUCGGUUUUUCAUAUUUAUACGGUUUAAGCUGUUUAACUUAUUUUUAAGUGUGUGUUGUAAAGUCAGUCAACCCCAAAUUGUGGUAGUUUAUAAUGUGUAGAAAAUUGCACAUGAUCAAUGUUUAAUUUGCUAGUUAUGUACUUACUUGAGCUUAUCUCGAGAAGAAGAAAAACUUACACGGUUCGUAAUGUAUUUAUGCGCAGCCACGAAAUGCAGGAGGUGAUGUGGUUGGAUCUACCUGCAGAGUUCAAGACGUUAUGCCUCCUCGCGCUUUUUGUAAGUCCAUAUUUUUCUGGAAAAAAUAGUUGAACAUGAGUCUUAAUUACUCUCAUCUUUUCUUUAUUUUUACCUGCAAUUUGCAUAGUUGUCUUUCAUCUGUGACGUUGAAAGGUGCGUCUCACAUAUAUAUGUGUGUCUUAGUCCCCACAUGAACUCAAGCUACAUCACACCCUCACACACCCAUACCUCAUGUGUUUUAUUUCUACCAUACAUGCUAAAAAGGCACACCUAUACUAUGCAGCUGGGAGUUCAAAGUUUAGGGCUGCUGUCCCAGAACCUGAGGUCAUCGCGGUGAAGCGGAAGCCAGGGGACAAGUUCCUAAUCCUGGCCACCCGGGGGCUCUGGGACUUCGUCACUCCAGGCGACGCGUGUGCCUUCAUCGAGAGAAGAUUGAGCGUGUACGUGCCGCGAAUCAUCAUGCCGUGGGAGAAGAAGCCAACGAACAGCAGCGGCCCGCCCUGUGCCAAGAUACUCGCCAAUGAGUUGGCUGAACACGCGAUCAGCAAGGGCACCAAGCACAACGUGAACAUCGUCGUCAUACUGCUCAAGAAUUUCUGGGACCAGAGUAUUCCCUCAACUUCUGAGGAGUGAUUUUGGUUUUUCAUAUGCUCGUAGUCGGUCUUAUCAUCUGUCCACUGUGGUAUGCAAACUUUCUUGCUGUCUUAAUGAUUGCUAAGGGGACUUUGGAACGUGUUUAUUGAGAUUUUUCUUGUAGCUAUUUCAAGAUGGAUCAUCCAUCGUUAGACUAUACAUGUCUUGCUUAUUUAAGGCAUAAUUUUCUAUCCGAGAAUUGAAGUAUUUUGUUUUUAACUUCUUGUGGUUUUGGACUGAUAUAUAGCAUUGAGAGGGGAAUUUCAGUUACUUAUAUACAGAGCUAGAGUAUGUUUACUAGUUCCUCCGUUUCUAAAUAUAUGAUGUUCCAGUAGUUUUUGAACUACUAAAACGUGGAACGGAGGAAGGUACGUAGUACAUGUUUCACUUUAAGAUAAGAAAUGAUUUUCUAUCUUGAACAUCUUACGAAGUCUUUUAACAUACUUUAUUCCAAUAUUGGCACAGAAAUGAUACAUCAGGAUAAUAAUUGAAUUAUAUAUUAAUAAUCAACUAAACAGUACGGCACGUGCAUGAAGUAUAUCUUUGCUGGUUUUAUUCUGGUCAGUCCAACACCUAAACUUUUCCUCUAUGUAUGUUGCGUGCGUGCCAUGUUCUCCAGUCUGUUAAAUUGUGAUCCAAAUUCUACCGUAUUGGACUAGACGUAGUACAAUCGGUGUGGGCCUUUGCGUUGGUACCGACGCGUACGAGUACAACUCGUUUACUUGUCCUCCAAGGACUCUUAUGUAUUGCCCCUCAUAUAUACUCCAUGUAGCCGCACCUAAAGACGUCCUGUCGUCUCGUGCUUGUAAUACUCCUCCUCAUAGUGAUUGCGCCUUCGUGCGUCCGUGGUUUUCUCCCGCAAGGGUUUCCACGUAAAAAUCCGUGUCUCUCGUGUCUCGUUGAUCUCGUUUUAUCUAAC
rnacentral:lncRNA from 1 species